CACGUAGGAGGCGAGCGUUGUCCGGAAUCAUUGGGCGUAAAGAGCUCGUAGGCGGUCUGUCGCGUCGGAUGUGAAAAUCCAGGGCUCAACCCUGGACCUGCAUUCGAUACGGGCAGACUAGAGUUCGGUAGGGGAGACUGGAAUUCCUGGUGUAGCGGUGAAAUGCGCAGAUAUUAGGAAGAACACCGGUGGCGAAGGCGGCUCUCUGGAACGGUACUGACGCUGAGACGCGAAAGCGUGGGGAGCGAACAGG
rnacentral:rRNA from 1 species